AUUGAACGCUGGCGGCAUGCUUUACACAUGCAAGUCGAACGGCAGCGCGGGCUUCGGCCUGGCGGCGAGUGGCGAACGGGUGAGUAAUGCAUCGGAACGUGCCCAGUAGUGGGGGAUAGCCCGGCGAAAGCCGGAUUAAUACCGCAUACGACCUGAGGGUGAAAGCGGGGGACCGAAAGGCCUCGCGCUAUUGGAGCGGGCGAUGUCGGAUUAGCUAGUUGGUGGGGUAAAGGCUUACCAAGGCGACGAUCCGUAGCUGGUCUGAGAGGACGACCAGCAACACUGGGACUGAGACACGGCCCAGACUCCUACGGGAGGCCGCAGUGGGGACUUUUGGACAAUGGGGGCAACCCUGAUCCAGCCAUGCCGCGUGCGGUAAGAAGGCCUUCGGGUUGUAAACCGCUUUUGUUCGGGAAGAAAUCCUCUGGUCUAAUACCCCGGGGGAAUGACGGUACCGGAAGAAUAAGCACCGGCUAACUACGUG
rnacentral:rRNA from 1 species